CAGGCCUAACACAUGCAAGUCGAACGAAGCCUUCGGGCUUAGUGGCGGACGGGUUAGUAACGCGUGGGAAUGUACCCUUCACUACGGAAUAGUCCCGGGAAACUGGGUUUAAUACCGUAUACGCCCUUCGGGGGAAAGAAUUUCGGUGAAGGACCAGCCCGCGUUAGAUUAGGUAGUUGGUGGGGUAAUGGCCUACCAAGCCUACGAUCUAUAGCUGGUUUGAGAGGAUGAUCAGCAACACUGGGACUGAGACACGGCCCAGACUCCUACGGGAGGCAGCAGUGGGGAAUCUUAGACAAUGGGGGAAACCCUGAUCUAGCCAUGCCGCGUGAGUGACGAAGGUCUUAGGAUCGUAAAGCUCUUUCAACUGUGAAGAUAAUGACGGUAGCAGUAGAAGAAACCCCGGCUAACUCCGUGCCAGCAGCCGCGGUAAUACGGAGGGGGUUAGCGUUGUUCGGAAUUACUGGGCGUAAAGCGCACGUAGGCGGAUUGGAAAGUUGGGGGUGAAAUCCCGGGGCUCAACCUCGGAACUGCCUCCAAAACUAUCAGUCUAGAGUUCGAGAGAGGUGAGUGGAAUUCCGAGUGUAGAGGUGAAAUUCGUAGAUAUUCGGAAGGACACCAGUGGCGAAGGCGGCUCACUGGCUCGAUACUGACGCUGAGGUGCGAAAGUGUGGGUAGCAAACAGGAUUAGAUACCCUGGUAGUCCACACCGUAAACGAUGAAUGCCAGUCGUCAGGGGGCUUGCCCCUUGGUGACACACCUAACGGAGUAAGCAUUCCGCCUGGGGAGUCGGCCGCAAGGUUAAAAC
rnacentral:rRNA from 1 species